GUUCCCGUAGUUUAAAAAAAACGUCGGUCUUGUAAAUCGAUAUUAAGGCCUAGCCUUCUAGAACU
rnacentral:tRNA from 1 species